GAGAUGUUGGGUUAAGUCCCGUAACGAGCGCAACCCUUGUCCUUAGUUACCAGCACGUUAUGGUGGGCACUCUAAGGAGACUGCCGGUGACAAACCGGAGGAAGGUGGGGAUGACGUCAAGUCAUCAUGGCCCUUACGGCCUGGGCUACACACGUGCUACAAUGGUCGGUACAGAGGGUUGCCAAGCCGCGAGGUGGAGCUAAUCUCACAAAACCGAUCGUAGUCCGGAUCGCAGUCUGCAACUCGACUGCGUGAAGUCGGAAUCGCUAGUAAUCGCAAAUCAGAAUGUUGCGGUGAAUACGUUCCCGGGCCUUGUACACACCGCCCGUCACACCAUGGGAGUGGGUUGCA
rnacentral:rRNA from 1 species